rnacentral:tRNA from 1 species
AGUAAAGUGGCUGAAAAGGGCGGUGAAUUGUAAAUUCAUAAAUAAGUUAGUACUUCUUUAUUG